GAAAAGUUAGCUAACAUAGUAAGCAAAUGAUAUUCUAAAUCAUUAACAAUAAGUGCAAUUCUUCUACUUUUCG
rnacentral:tRNA from 1 species